rnacentral:lncRNA from 1 species
CGAAAUGUGCUCACCACAACAACCAUCAUGAUGGCUUAAUGAAUUUCAUGCACAGGGAUGAGGAGGUACAUUGUUCUUUAAAACUUUUCAUCCCCCUUCCGCUUGCAUGAUGCCGUAUUUCCCCCGAUUGACAGAAAUAAUAUGUAGUUAUGUUUCAAGUCCACUGCAAUUACAUAUAUUUGGCUUUUUUUUUCAGGUGAACUACUUCCCUUCAAGGUUUGAUCCUACCCGUCAUGCUGAACAGUACCCUAUCCCUCCUCGUGUUCUAUCUGGCUGCCGGGAGAAGGUAUGCAACUUGAGCCCGUUCGAACUGUGACUAAAAUACUCUAGGGAUUAAUGCCCCCACCACCAUUUGUUUGACAAAUGGUUUGCUACAUUUGUACUUUUGGAACUGCAGUGCAUUAUCAAGAAGGAGAACAAUUUCAAGCAGGCUGGCGAGAGAUACCGGUCCUUCGACCCUGCCAGGUUCAUCCCAAACUCAGUUUGAUUUGUUUCAAGUCUUUUAGGCACAUAGAAGAAAUCAAGCAGCGUUGCUAACCGAACUGUAUCUUAUAUGAAAACACAGGCAAGACCGUUUCCUCCAGCGGUGGGUUGAUGCCCUCACGGAUGCUCGCGUUACCCAUGAAAUCCAGGGCAUCUGGGUCUCAUACUGGUCACAGGUACACUUCUGUUCUUUAUUUUCAGUUGACCAUGCACACUGCUCUACUGCUACGUGUAUCUGGGAUUAUUCAAGCACACUGAAACCAACCAUGCUUUUACCAAUUCUGUUUGCAGUGCGACGCAUCCCUCGGGCAGAAGCUGGCGUCGCGGCUCAAGAUGAAGCCGAACAUGUAGAUGGGCAAGGAGGAUCGGACCAGUCGCUCACUCGCCUCGCUUGGUGUCGAUCAAGCGAAGAAAGGGUGCGGCAUGAACUGAAUCUGUCUUUGUGUGGGUGUAGCCAUGAAUAAAAAUGUGUAACAGUGAAAUGAAUAUCGUAUGUAAUACCGAUGAACGAUGAUGGUGGGUGUUGUGACCCGGUGUUUGCCGGGUUCGUCCGUCGUAUUGUGUCUGUGCAAAAGAGAAAAUAAAAGACAGUUAGUUGGUUAAUCUUUGCUGUGAAAAUAAAAGACAGUCUGAUAGAAGCUUUGAUGAUCCAUUUUGUUUGGCUUUCCUGCCACUGUUGUGGCAUAAUUUCAGAUAUGGUAAUUUCAGAUCAGGAGAUUUUUCUGCUGUUAAAAAAUUCAAACAGGAAGGCCAAAAAAAAAAGAUUUGGGAGUCUGUCAGACAACCUCCUCUGGGCCACCCUGCACAGGUGUGAGCCAGGCAGGAACGAUCCUCUACAGCCGUCGGAUUGCCUCCAUCAGAGGAAUCCUGGACGUUAAUCACGCUCUGGCCCAGAGGGCAGAGGUCAUCAACCAGACUGAAGUGCUUGCCUCCUUAUUGGUAAAGGAUGCAGCGGUACGAGCCUAUAGAACAGAUCCUGUUCAAGUAAGGUCGUGCUACGAGCUGCAGCGCCUCGCCUUAUAAACCGGUGCCGCUCCCCGCGAACUAGCGAGGUGGGACUAAUGUAAAGGAGCGCGCAGCAGCGCAGCGCAUCGCCUCCUCUCGGUCGCAGGCUCGCAGCUUAGGACUCGUGGGGUGCUGGGCCAUGUGGUUGGGCUGAAGAGGACACGCGGCGCGGCCCAUCUGAGUGAGAUAAUACUUGUCCUGUACGGCUUUUCUUUCCUGUGAUUUUGAAUUUCUUUUUCCUUUCCUGUAUCGCAGUUGCAUCAGAUUUGCAUUUACACCUAAAAAAAACAGUUUUUCAUUUUUCUUCCCUGUGAUGUUUAUUUUUUGUCAACCUGCGAACACUAAGUUGUUUUCGCAAUAUACUCGUAUUUUCUUGUUAGUUCAUCCAUUACUAUUAAAUAUUAUAUAAUGAAAACACCCAUGCGGCAUUUUCUGGAAUACAAUUAAAAGCGUCCACGGAAAAAUCCCACAGAUAUUUAUCCAAUAAAAAAAAGAGUUCCGUACACAAUCAAGUAAAGAAAAGUCGUUAAUUACUUGUCACAAAAAUGGAUGUAUCUACAACUAAAAUACAUCUAGAUACAUAUAUUUCUUGGACGAGUAGUUCCGAACGGAGGGAGUACCUUUGUUGUGCACUUUUGUUGCAUUUCCAGCGCUCAUUUUCGAAGUAUUGUCCAACCUCGGCUCAGCCUCACCUUCUUGCUGCAUGUUCAUCAGGGAAUAAUCACUGAACUUGCUGACCCUUGCAUAAAAAACCAACAGACAAUCUAGAAAAACAGCCACCUGCUCUUCCCUUCUCCAUUCUCAACUUGCCUUUUCUCCCCGCGGGCAGAAGGCAUAGACAAGCUUAUCCUUGGGUUUCAACACCAUGCAUGGAUAUCACACACAGGAAAAGGUUGGUGCUGCUAUUAAACAGGUGCAUCGCUAUUUCUGUACAGUUAAUAAUUCAGUAAUGGAGCUGUCACUCACAUAACUCACCAAAUGUGGAUAGACAUAGUUGAUCCGCAAGUAGUUGGCAAGCAGUUGAUCUUCUCUUUUCUAUUCAUUCCCAGUUGGCAGCAACUGACCAUGCACUGCCAUACUGCUAUGUACUCCCUCUGUUCGGAAUUACUCGUCGAAGAAAUGAAUGUACCUAGAUGUAUUUUAGUCGUAGAUACAUUCAUUUUUAUGACAAUUAAUUCCGAACGGAGGAAGUACUUAUGUAUACCUGGAUCAUAUGAACACACACUGGAACCAACCAAUGUUUUUACCAAUGCUGUUUGCGGUAUGACGCGUCCCGGCUCAAGAUUAAGCCGAACAUAUAGAUGUGCAAGGAGGGUGCAGCCAUGGUUGGUGUCGAUCGAGCGGGCCAAGGAGGGUGCAGCAUGAACUGAAUCUGUCCUGCGUGGGUGUAGCCAUGAAUAAAAAUGUGUAACAGUGAAAUGAAUAUCGUAUGUAAUACCGAUGA